UGUGUGUUAGUGGAAGCGUCUGGAAAGGCGCGCGAUACAGGGUGACAGCCCCGUACACAAAAAUGCACAUGCUGUGAGCUCGAUGAGUAGGGCGGGACACGUGGUAUCCUGUCUGAAUAUGGGGGGACCAUCCUCCAAGGCUAAAUACUCCUGACUGACCGAUAGUGAACCAGUACCGUGAGGGAAAGGCGAAAAGAACCCCGGCGAGGGGAGUGAAAAAGAACCUGAAACCGUGUACGUACAAGCAGUGGGAGCACGCUUAGGCGUGUGACUGCGUACCUUUUGUAUAAUGGGUCAGCGACUUAUAUUCUGUAGCAAGGUUAACCGAAUAGGGGAGCCGAAGGGAAACCGAGUCUUAACUGGGCGUUAAGUUGCAGGGUAUAGACCCGAAACCCGGUGAUCUAGCCAUGGGCAGGUUGAAGGUUGGGUAACACUAACUGGAGGACCGAACCGACUAAUGUUGAAAAAUUAGCGGAUGACUUGUGGCUGGGGGUGAAAGGCCAAUCAAACCGGGAGAUAGCUGGUUCUCCCCGAAAGCUAU
rnacentral:rRNA from 1 species